UCCGACGAGAUUCAGUCUGGCCAUAGGCCGCCAACGUCGAUUUUGGAUUAUGUUCACUGCCCCACAGCAGUUUUACCAGCCACUUACACACCUCCUAUAUUUAGUAAAACAAAGGGAACCAACGAGCCCUUUUUCUUUUGAUUUGGAAGACGGGCGUUGCGUUCGGUUCGAAAGGCAUGGUUUUCAGUAUGUCUCCAGAUCGGGCCCCCACUAGUCCGGCUGGCUAGUGAGCGGUUCUUUCGGGCGGGAAGGUGUAACCUAGGCAUUCUGGUAUGGCAGGAAUACGACUUUUUAGGUCGACCACUACAUAGGAGCGAUAGCGAAGCCAAGCCGUAUAAAGGCGAGCAGCCCUUAUAGCACUAGCAAACGGCCUACUUAUAGCCCUAUUUUCCCCUUUAUUCGGGGUGACAAGGCUGAAUUUAUUAGAACCGUUGUUGUUUAGAAAGACCGGGAGCUGGGAAACACGUUCACUCAUACUGAUGGAAGGCAUUAUUAAAUUAAGGGUAGCGGACAAGCAGAGGAACAAAUGCAUUCCUUCUUACUGUACUUCUAGGUCAACCCAACCCGAAUGGGAAGAAGAGGGUCAGCCAAACUACGGUCCACUUUGUACGUUUGCUGAGCAGACCAGGAAGCCAAAGGACGGGGCCGAGAAUCUGUGAUCGAUCCGAAGAACCACUGCCAGAUACGAUUCUGCUCCCCCUUCGUACUACCAAAAAAUGAGAUUCUUGCCCGGCUUUCUUUCGGCUUAAGAAGGCUGCAGUGAGAAAAGGAGUAGGGUGAAGACGAAUUCUUUCCUUGAGCCUGUCGUUCUCGAUGGUGAGAACUUCCCCGCUAUUUCUGAGUCGACGAUACUCUGCGUCGAGCUCUUGUCGACUCAGUUCUCCUAGGCCCAUUGACGCUGCAACCGCGCUUCGCAAGACCUUUCGGCAGUGAAAGCUCUAGGAUGCAAGCUAAAAGUAAGCCAAAAGAGCUCAAACUCUUUUUUUUUUAGUUCCACUGAGAAAGUGGAGUCUUAGUCACCUUCUUCCUUCACUACACUCCCCCUUCAGACGCCUAUGGCGUACUAAGGUACCAUUAGGAGUAUACUUUCCGAAGGCGCAGGAAAAAGGUAAGCCUUCGUUGCACACCAUCCUUCCUUUAUCUCUCCUAAAAAAAUUAGAUAUGAGGAAAGGAAAAGAAGAGCGCUUAGUGAGGAGACAGCACCGGAGAAAAGAAAUUCUCGCAGCUAAGGAAGCACGUCAACUCCGAAAGGAAGCUCGCGAGAGGAAAAGAACCUAUGAUAUUCAUCCCAAGCCGAUUGCGCAUGUGGAGUAACUCGACUAAGCAGGGUAAGAGUGGCACCCUAAUCAGAUACAAUUUGAAGGAUUUUGUAGGGUGGAAGCUGCUAAUAAGACUCUUAAGGUAAGGACAUCUUGAGCAAAAUGACCUUUUCUUGUAGGGAUUAGUAAAGCUCUCUAGGUUAGCUAUAGGUAAAGUUCUCCCAGAGCCGGAGACACAAGCCGCUACUCCUUCAGAAAUCGGGAAUCCGUAAGGACCUAAAGUUUUUCGUCGGAUGAGACCGAGAACCGAACGAUGUCUAUCAAAGAAAAGAGCGAGAGGGACUGACUAGAUGGCUGUCAACCAGCUCUAAAGGUUGCAAAGCCUUUAGAGUUACCCAACAAAGAGUUAGAUCCGCUCACUAAGCUAGUAGUUAGUUGCUACAUUCCAUUCGGCGAGGAAUUCCUCUUGCCCCAAGAAUUACUACGUCAUUUGGUCUAGUUUAGUGAUAGCGGUGAGAAAAUCCUUCCCCAGGGCAGGAUAAGGAUUCCUUUCUACCAUUAUUCCAUGCUAGGUUUUUCUUCCUCUCCUUCGACUGGUGGGGACGGAUGCUCCAGUCUUCAAUCUUCAUUAGGUAGCGCCGGCAGACGUGGGUGGGAAAGGAGUGGUGGAUAGGUCUAGUUCGAAGACUGCCUCCCCCGCCCCCUUCUUAGUCAAUGGGCAAUGCACCUCGUACUUCUUUUCUUCUUCCUCUUGAAAGUUCUCUCCCUUCAUUGAUUCUAGGAUUUCCCUUCCCUGAUGGCUUUUGAUGUGAUAAGAUACUAUUGACUUCAGACUGGCUGGAGGGGAACACUCUUUAUAGCUCUCCGGAUCUCAUCUCUUAUACGCUGAAAGCUGGUCUAAGUGCUUGCUGGUCCAUAUUAGAAUAAUGCCUUCCAAAGACAACUCAGUCUCACUUGGAGACUCCUCCUCAAUUCAAAGGAUAUGCCAGGCAAGAGAUGAGAGGAUAGCUGCUUUCAUAGACGCAGGAAAAAGGUAAGCCUUCGUUGCACACCAUCCUUCCUUUAUCUCUCCUAAAAAAAUUAGAUAUGAGGAAAGGAAAAGAAGAGCGCUUAGUGAGGAGACAGCACCGGAGAAAAGAAAUUCUCGCAGCUAAGGACGCAAAGCGGCCUUUCAUUCCCUUGUUUCGUCAUCAGUACGUGGAUCCGCCGUAGGGGUUGGUUCAGCCACUCGACGACCGGCACUUGCCGCCCUUGCUUUCAGCUGCAUUUUGCUUUGAUUUACUAUAACCCUUCCCUCAACACGUGACCUUCUUUUUCUACCUCUCUUUCACUCUGCUUGUUUAGCUUUACAUCCGUCCCAAGAUAUCAUUUCCAAUACAUCCGCGGGGCAGGCUCACUAUGGAAAAGCAUAAAGCAUGCAUAUAUGACAAAAAAGCAGGAAUUUUUAUAUGGUUUAGAAGAAACCAAUUUCUCGGUGAGUUCUUUCUUUUUAUCUAACAUCGUCUGGUACACCAGAGGUAGGCUUUUAAGCUAAUGACAUGUAGGGGCAGUCUUAUCCAGUUGAAGCGAAGGAAAGAGCUUAGCAUAUAGAGGAAGAUCAAGCACUUCUUAUUGGUCUUCUGAGCUCCCUUUGAGGCUACUUUCUUAAUAUUCUAUGAGAGAAGGGGGUGGUAGGCUUAGUAGGGCUCGAACCUACAAUAUCACCGUUACCCAUCUAGCUACUAUAGCUAAUAGAAAGGGCAGACUUUAGCUUAGUAUGGAGGGCAGACUACCUUCUUACAGAGUGCUCUAUCCCUAGAAGAGUGAGAGUGAUAGAAUCAGCUGUGAAUGCUGCCGAUGCCGAUACCGGAGCAGCUAAAGGAAGCAGUAGCAUUAGAAGGAGCAGUAGGACUAGGGGAACGAGCCUUUCUUCUUUCAAACCAGUAGAUAGGUUGUAGGAAAGGGCUAGACGGGAUGAGGAGAUCAGAUGCGGAAAGGAGAGUCAAACAUAGCCGAGUACUGAUCAAGAGAGCUACUAUCCACAAGCAGCUGGGAAGAGACCAAAACAGGAGCUGAUCAAGAUGCGUUCCAAACCAACCUGAGCUGAUCGUGUCGACCAACAACAGAGCUGAGCAACCGGCUGAGAAGAGAUGAAGCUAGACUAUAGAGGUGUAUAAGCAUCCUGAUUGGUUGCGAAGCACCCUUUGAAAAGCUUCUAUCUGACAGGAGGAUCAACUAGUGAAUGAAAGGAAAGAUGACGCCCAGGCGAAGUCCACUUAUUCAAGAGUCCUCUCUCCGGGGAGGAGUGAAUUCAGGUAACUAAUUAAGCGCAUCUAUCUACCAGCAAAGACAGGUUAGAAUGGUAAUCUAUGCUAGGAGUGCCCCAUGAUAUGCCCAUUAUUUAGCGCUAUAAUAGUCUGACUCCAAGCCUACCCUACCCGUUCCCCUGCCUUCAGUCUUCCCUGCAUUCACACCACAUAAAUGAAAUUCCACAUUCAAUCAAACAAACCAACCAUUCAUUCCGCAUUCCAAGCCAAAGCAAAAUGCAUUUAGUGAACGCCUGGGGGAUACUGAGUUCAAUAUUUUUGAUGUAUAGCUCUGUUAUCUCUAUCUAAACGAAUAAGUCUUCCGGUGGAAGCAUUUCCUUGAUUGCUCCUCUCGGAACUACAAACUAUGGGAGCUAAUAGCGGAAGAGAUCUAAGCUAAAAAAAAGGCAGGCACAGCUCCCGGGCUCCAAUCAAAGCCUUGAAAUCGUAAGGUUCUAAUCGAAAUCCUUUCUCUCUCAAGGGAACGGUUCUCGGGCUAGGUCCAAUUCCAAACCCCACGGAGCGGUAAUUACUUUCUAAAGGCAAAGCGCUAAAAGCCUAGAAGACUAGACUGUCAGACUCGGAGGUAGCAGUCAGAUCUCUGUCUCCAGAAAGGCAUGAAGGUUUCAAAAAGUAUCCGAGAUAGUUACCUUUCAGAAAAUUCUAACGAUAGGAGGAAUUUAUUCUUCAAGGUAGGCGGGAAAAAAGCAGUAGAGGAGGCAUGGGGGAUCACCACCACAUCGCACCUGCCACUGACCGGAGAGCCGUGUGCAACAGUAAAUUAGGGGGACAAAUAGAGUCCUAUAGCCCUCCAACCAGGUGGUUCAUUGCUAGCUGGUGGUCCUCUCAAAUCCCAUUUUUUCAUCGACAGGUAGGGUGAAUUCUAAGGUUCCUUAUUCCGCUUGUAAAGCGGAAUAAGCCAUUCUCCCUGCCCCACCAGCAGCAAGUACUGGUGAGAGGGAAAGAGCGCUCCUGCCCUUUACCCAAACAGUACAAGAAUGGCAAUCCACCUAUUGGUGUGCUGCUGUCCUCAACCGACCUGAUCGUCCCAAUCCGGUUGUCCUUACUAAGAACAGAUCCACAAUCUCUUAUCUUCUUAUCUAAUGAAUAUGAAUUUGCUAUAGUUUUUUCCUUUGCCUAGCUAAACUAGUAAAGAAGGGCUCUUUGGGGUCUAAUUUUCUUUCUAUCUGACAGGACAAACAAAUAGGAAGGGAUGGUUCUUUCAUUGCAUUGAUAGAAGAAGAAGAAAAGCGAAUGGAAAGCGGUAGGACUAGAGGGAAUGCUUGCGGGAAAGCACUUCCAACAACUAAACCAAAGGAAAAUGCGCCAAACCUUAUCCCGUCGGCCUUAGCGGACGUUUUUCAUUCUUCACCCGGUCCUUAGUAGCCUUUCCAAAGUCAACCUAAGCGGUUACCUUUGGAAAGGCGCUAAACAGGCCUAUAGGUUCUCCUUUACGCCUUUCUAAUAGAAGAAAAUAAGAUCGAAGGCUAUUCCCCGAUCCUCUACUUGCAUGAUCGUCUAACCAACCAACACGGCUGUUUGCAGUACCUAUUAUGAGGCAGCCUGGGACCUAGGUACAAGGAUUCUGGAAUGUAACAAAAUAUGUAUGAGAGAUCUCGAGAUCGAGGAACAAAAGAAAGAAAAUCAAUAGCGGAAAAGGCGUGUGAAGCUAUUGAUUUUUGAUUCCUAUCUCUUCUGUAAACAGGCGACUACCUUAUUUAUAUAGGAUAAACCCACUUCCCCUAGAUGGAAAGUAUAGAUCUUCCCUCAGGCGCUAAUUCUAUGAUUGACAACGAUUGAUAUAGGAUUAAUAACUGAGUUUAGUUUGCAUUGGCUAGAUUCAAUAGCCACCACUAGUCACAGUUGGGGGGCAUGGGAUUGACCCAUUGAUGGGAACAACGGAGAAAGGAAUAGGUGAGCUUGCAGAAAUCGAAGCGCCAGGAUCAGACGAGAGAUUGGGAACGGGACCUGCAGGGGGAUAGCUUUUAUCUACGGUCAUUCGGGAAGUCCCUCCGAGGACGACUCCCAUACAAUUCUUGCGAGAGCUGGAGAAGCGUCUACGGGUAAAGCACCGUAUCCAUAUAACUGCUUGCCACCUACGCUCGGCCAUCCAUUCCAAGUUUAGGAACCUAGGUAAUAGUAUCCCGAUCAAACAGCUGACGAAGGGGAUGAGCGGAAGAGGGAGUCUACUGGACUCCCAAGAGCUCUUAUCGACGGAGUCGUUUGGCACCUCGAUGUUGACUCAUCACAUCCUGGGGUUGAAGAAGGUCCCAAGGGUUCGGUUGUUCGCCGAUUCAAGUGGAACAAAGGGGUACUUAUAUCUUUUAAGGUAGCCGUCUGCUACUAAUAAGAAUAUAAUUCCUUAAAGACCUUCCCCUUCUUUAGGUUUAGGGGGUGUACUAAUAAGUCUACGGUGGGUGAGAAUAGAUUACGAUCUGAGUGAGUAGGACAUGCAGCAAACAAAUAAAGGGAGGCAGUGCAAUGGCUGAAAACAGAAAAGCAGAAACUGGCUUAGCAGGCUAGAAGCCCAAAAACUUCCACUUCCAGAGCAGUCUGGUGAUUAGCCUAUCCCGCACUACUUGAAGCCUUCGUAAACUCAUUGUCGGGUUCUAUCGUAGUGGAGGUUGCUGUGAGGAGAUCCUUGUGCCAGUGAAGAUUGCUUCCAAUGAUCGGGAAAAAAAAAUGGCUUUAUUUCCUACACUCCGGAUAGGCGGAAAGAUUUAUGUCCAUCCCUAACUUCCUUUCAAUCCACAUCGGCAAAUUUAGGCUUUCUCUACUGGGAGUCAUCAAAGGAGGAAUGGGCAUACGCUGGUUCGAUAAGCCAAGGAAAAACAACCACCGCUUGGUUUUGACACUCAAGCGACCCGCCCUGCUAAACAUCGAUGCAAAGGUUAGAUUUUACCACCUCUAUCUACCCAACUAGUCCUAUUUGAUCUAAAAAAUCCAACCUGGAAACUGUAUCUCCCCCAGAAAACCCUCUAUUUCCAAGCCGAGUGAGCCCUCGUGCCUGGGGGGGCUCAUUAAGAAUACUACAUAAUAUCUCUACUCUGGGAGAGAGUUCCAUAAUUCAAUUAAAGAUAGAGUCAAGGGAGAAUGCCGCUGCUGAUAGAUCCGAUCAAGGGUGGUGGUUUCUUUUCGAAAGAGAAAAAUGGGCAAAGAAGGGGGGGCUGUAACAACGAAGGAUAAAAGGUUUUCUUUGAAAGCUAUGGAGUGAAUUCUUAAUUCAAGAGGAAAGGAUUAGUUGUUUACUUUUAUAGAAGCUAAGGCAAGAAGUCAAUCGCUUUCAGUAUCUCUUGCUUCUUUGGUUAGUUCAGUACGAGUGGCAGGCGCAAACUGGCACAGGCGGCUUGCUUGGAAGUGGACUUGAUUGUCUUCCCCGAUUUUUCAUAUGAGACGAGCCUAAUCACUAGUGACUAUUUGUUACUCACCUUGGAGUAUGCUGACCGAAGGCAAAGGUGCACUGCCUGCUAUUCUCUUUAUUUUAUACUUAAGGAGCUCACUUUAUCGUGAUUUCGUAUAGUUCAUCAAGAUGUGGAUGUGACAUAUAGGGGCAGAGACAAUAUUUAUUCGGAAGGUCACAAAAUUUCCAUAGUUCCUUCAAAGAGUCCUUUGAAAAAGCCCAAAGCUUCUAAAGUGGAGGGGCAAUCCUUUUUAACUGUGGCUAGGUCCGAGAGUGAUUUUGAAACCGAAGCGAAGGGUACCCAAGAGAUUCAUGCAGUGGUAGUAAAGGCUUUGGUGGUAGAAGAGAGUGUUUCAGUUACGGUUUAGGGCUAGUGAGUUUCUAUACGUUCGUGAAGGCAGACAGGCGCUCGUAGACAGAAAACCGUUUUCGCAUAGCGACUUAGAGAAAAGAAACUGGGGAGAAACUAAAAAAGAGGAAGUUGAGCACCCUAUAGUUAGUAUAUUUUCCUUAUCUACGCAGGAGUAAAAACCCUUUAUCUAAGGCCACUGAUGGUCUUUCUAAAGCGAAGAAGUCAGUUAAGGAGAGGAAAUCCAAAUUAGUUAGGUUGUAUCCCAUCGGUUCUGGCCUAGUUCAAUUCAUGGAGGAAAGGAGAUUGAUCACUUUAACGACAGAUUUGAAGACCAAAAGGAGCAGAAGGCACUCAGUUGUUUAUGUGAAAUCAAGGAGCAGCAGGUUACACUUUUACACUUUCCCGAAGAGAGCUCACUAGGGCUAGCUACUUCUAGCUUCUAUAGUGGCCUGCGGUUCGGAGAGGACUCAGCUGUUAGUUAGUAUCCCCUUGCUUUCGGGGUGGACCCUUUCACUCUAUUUUAUUAUAUACGCUUAGCGAAAAGAAUGUUUUUUGAUACACCUAGGACAUGGAUUCUAUAUGAACCAAUGGAUCGUGACAAGUCGUUACUACUAGCAAUGACUUCCUCUUUCAUUACUUCAUUCUUUCCAUAUCCCUCUCCUUUGUUCUCAGUUACUCAUCAAAUGGCACUCAGUUCAUAUCUUUAAGUUCGAUCAUUGACAAGGUUCAAAGAAAGGGUGGGCCGUUGAUAAAGAAUCAAGCACAUAGCUUGGCACUCUGUAAAAUGGAAUUGAGCUUGGCCCUGUCUCGGCCUUAAUAAGCAGUUGAAUCCUCUGUAGCCCAAAGAUGCUCCUCUAUUGAAUGGAAAGAACGAAAGCGACGUACGUACUGGAUUGACUAACGUGUGCCAACUAUUCUACUUCCCUAUUUCCUGCUUGGGCUUUCGCCUUGCUUUUCAAAAGGAGAACUCAAUUCAAGGGGUAUUCCAAUCCUCUGGAAAGCAGCACUUUAGCGAUUCCAAGUUCUUUACUAACUCAGUGUCGAUCUCUAAACGCCUAAUCUCACGACUGGUCAAGAAAGCAAAGUUCACUCUCAAGCUAACCUGUGGAUGCGGAUAAAGCUCCACCUCUUUCCUUCACUCCUGACUGUGUCACAGAUCAUUCAUAUUCUUCGCACCCUACCAAGGCUUCUCUAGAGUUCAAGAGCAGACCCCUCACCCACCCCUAAUUAAACGGGCUUGUCUCGGAUUUGAUCUUAUGCAAUUCCUUUCGCAGCUGUGCACCUCUUUUUCCAGAGGCGGGGGUUAAGCCCUGCCCACCUUAUGAAAGAAGCCGAACCCUCAGUCUUUGCUCUCUCUGGAUCGGGUCGAAAAACUCAUAGGUUCAGAAAGAAAGAUCAGGCCGCUAAGGAAGGUUAAGGGGCAUAAAAGGAGCAGCUGCUAGCCAUAAGACUUGAAUCCCAACUGUGAGGGAGGUUUGGAUAGAUAUUAAACUAGGGCUUGAACAGAAUCGGGAUAUCCCACAUGAACUUCGCGAUGAGGGUUCCAAACCUCCUCUAUCCCACGUUGAGAUUUUAGAAAAAGGUGGGCUUGGGCACAAGCUCAACUUCUUCGACUCAAGCUGUAAAGGCCCCUUAGGUAGCCAAUCAUUAUCCAGUAAGGAAGAGCACCUUAAGGAAAGCGAAGGUAGCUCAAUGAAUGGAGAGAGUUACGAGAAGGGAAGGGCUUCAUAGCUCCUUACUAUAGGCGACUCAGGGAAAACCCCACCUUUUAAUCUGACUAAGAAGUCAGGCCCGGAAACGGCUCCAAUAGGGCACACAUUCGUCCAUCAAAUAGCCGAAACAGGCCGUAAACGAUCAAAUAAUGGCCCAUUUUAUUGAAUGUAAAAAGCUAGUAUCGGAUAGAAUCGAGUCCUUGUGAAUGGGCAAAGCCAGGUGCUCUUAUUUUACGACGGUAGGGACGAUUGCUUCCAUUACUGACCAGAAAGACACCAAAGGAAAGCAGCAGCCUUGAUCAACUAUAGGAAAGUACCAGUUUUACACAGUGACAAGGACUUCGCCCGAAAGCAUUGAUUGAAGGUCUCCUCUUUCUUUUUCCUUUCUAUGGGAAAGGUUUCCAAUACGGAUUCUGCCGUUGUCGAGCUUAAAAGCGGAUGAUGAUCCCUAAUCAAGAGUUUGGUCCUAGCUUUUCGAUUUCAUCUUAAGUUCUGUCCUCGCAAAGAUAUGAGGGCGUUUUUGUACCCCAGGACGGAUACGGAUACAGGUGACCCACUACCCCGAUGAUGACACCUGAACCCUCGUGGUCAGAUACCCCAAAAUCUGAUUCCGUGGCCCGGAAAGAUGACAGUUGGGAGGUUAUGAACAGGAUUACCAUGGUCAAGAAGCUCGAGACUAUGCUAUUGAGUUAAGCAGGGAUAGGUGCAGUCGCAUUCGAUCGAGAGUCUGAUACCCUUCUAAAGGUUUUCUUAUUGAUGCUAGUGACGAUAUCGAUCGUGACCUUGAUACGGAGCUGGAACUGCUAACUAUGAUGAAUGCGCUAACUAUGGAUAUGAUGCCCCCUUUGGAUAGAGAAACUUAUUUUCGAGUGAUCGGGAAGGGACGCUUUAGCUAUCUCUGUUCUUUCUAUCGCUCUUUCCGAGGAAGUACCCCCCUGGGGAGCUUCUUUGUUCCAGGCAACCAAGGCUAAGGUCUUUCCCCACUACAUGGCAUGACACCUUUCGCUCAUCCAUUCCGCCCGCCCGUCCAGACGCGGUGCCUUUUCUCAUUAUCAUCUACCGCCCUUCUGCGCAUAGAAUCCUUUUUCCCCAGUUCAAAUUUGGGUGUCGCCUGAUCAACAAAAAGCUCUAAAUAUUUGCUUAGGGGAGAAGAACAUUUCUCGAAAUCGAAGUACCUCUAUGAAGGAAAAGGUCUUCAUUGAUUUCGGUUCCUUCGUCUUAAGUCAAGUUCAGUUUACUUUUUCGAUUCGGAACUCUUAGUCGAGCUGAUGGUGAGAUCGAUUUUUUGUUCGAGGUUCAAGAGGAAGGAGAGGAACCACCGCCCAGAAUGGAUUUUCCUUGAUACCUAACAUAAUGCAUGAAAGGAUCCUUGAACAAGCAUAGAUUGGUCUGAAAAUCCUUAACAAAGACGUCUUGCUCUCUAUCCCCUAUUUUUUGAGGUCCCCAUGAAUCUUUAGUAUUCGUGUUCGCUGAAUUCCAUCCAGCCUUCUUUCAUGAGACGCUUUCUUUUUUACGACAUAAACAAAGAAAUCGAUCUUGUUCGCUGACAAAGCAUAAGCCUAAACCGGAGACUUUGUCUACCCUACUUUCUUCUUUUUAGUGAUACCAUUCCAUUGCCCUUGUCUACUUGAAAUGAAAGUUGGAGCGUGUUCAUGCCGCAGGAGUGGAAGAAAGGGACUUUUACCGCCUUAUUUCUAUGUAAGGAUAAGAGCCAGAUUAGCGAUAGCUGCAGUUUAUCCGAGCUUCCUAGUUCUCAAGUCAGCUACGACAGGCAAUAGAGAGAUGGUCUUAGCACUACCGAGUUCGCAUCAGCGAUUUUAUCAACAAUGGAAUCAAUGGCUUUGGUCUUGGAAUUCAUCUACCGGCAUCGGAGGGAGAAGAAGAAAAAGCAUUGACUUCUUUAUCGGAGCUAACAGCCGCUUUAACGAGAGCGCAGCAGCUUGACCAACGAGGUGAAGGAGCUGAAAGGGCCGUUACCAUGAGUUCUAAUACUUCCUUUCCUUGAAGUUUCAGCCUUGCGACGUCAGCCGCUGAUCAUUUGAUUGAACUGAAAUUUGGAAUGGGUACACUUGACGAUAUGAAUCAUUUGAAAAAUAAACGUAUUCGUUCCUUGUCCUCGGUUGUGUUCCAAGCUGCUUUCACUCCGCUAAGAGAUAUGGGGGAUACUCGUCGCUGAACGCCAACCCAAUCUGGUCUUUCGUUGAAAAUAUCUUUGAUAAAGUGCGAGUUCGGUGGCACUGAGACAGAUGACGAUCCUGGUACUACAUAAUGAGAGAAUCUUUGCACUAUGACUUUCAUUUUAAGAAGAAUAGGUGGAAAAAGGCCUUUUCUUUCGAGAAAAAAAAGAGUAAGGCAAGAAAGUCACUGAUUGCACUAAGACUGAAUGCCCCAGGACAUAGUAAUAGAAUAGGGGAUUGCCCCUUCUCAGACUAGUUAAAAACUAAGAGGACAGCUUUCAAAACAAGAAGCAAGUGGAAGAAUGGCUUGUUACAGUGAAUCAGAAUCAGAAUGCGCUCUUAGUGAGACAGUUGGGAUUGACCUUUCUUUGACACGAAAUAGAAACCUCAACCCCCGAAAAGGCAAACUUAGAUUACCAAAAUGAGGGCACACAUCAUGUGUCAGCAAUGUCCACUCCAAACGUGGAAAAGAUUCAUAUGGAGCUAGAAAUCUCAGUGCUCAGUGAAUGGCUAGGAGUUCCCGAGUUGGACAGUCUCAUUAUAGAGAUGCUGCGAGACAAAAAGUCUUGUCCAAGAGGCCUAAUUUCGUACCACAACACCGUCUUUGGGGCAUAAAGUAGAUUUCCCUUCUCUUUCCCCUGGGAGAUGUGAUCAAAGGACCAAAAACCUAUAUUGGCUGUUAGACUCGUUCGCAUCAGCGAGUGGUGUGACGACGACCAAGCCAAUCUUGACAUUUAAAAUAACGAUUUGAAUGUAAUCUGACUGGGGAAAAGAGAGAACAAGCAGAAGUUAUCUUCUUUCUAUUUUAUAAUAAAAAUUCGCUCUUGUUUUACUCGUGACGGUAGCACACCCCCCACCUCUUACUUCAGCGUAACCAGCGAGACCUUACUAUGACGAAAAGGAUUCCUUUUGAGUUUGAGUAACAUUCUCCUCGAUCUUUCAAGUACACUCAACCGAGGAAUGGUAAUAUUUCCAUCAUUCCACUAUGGUUAUGCCUAUUUUUGUAGCACAAAAUCCUCAACUAUCUUAUACUACUCCAAACAUUUCAGUCCUCGAGAUGGCGAAUGAAGUGGGGCAUUCAAUCUCAUAUCCAAGGGUGAUCCACGAGCCUACGAAAGGUCAUAUCUGAUAGAGAACUAUACACUCUCGAAGUUGGGAAGAAUCCACUUCAAUUAGCUUGGCGAAUAGCUUUCCUUUAGCCUCGCCAAGUUCGAGCUCGUUAUUUGGUUUCGGCUUUCCAAACCUCAGGUGCGCAAAGGGGUGGAAACCUGUGGCUGGAUUGAAUCCUUCGCGAUGGAAAUGCCCUCUUCCCCCAACCAACACAGGGGCUUUUAUUCCCAGAAAGGUUAAUACCCUAGGAUUAAUCCCCCCGCCCAGCUCUAUCAGCAGGCCCUUUCUUUUGCAAGACUUAAAAAAGUGUCUCAUGGCCCAAUUAUUAUUACAGCGUUCUCUACCAUAGAAUUCGGCCUUCGGGGUCAACCCGGCGGCUUCUAUGAGGAAGGCGGCGCAAAGGAGGCUCGAGGGUUUGUUAAGGAAGGCGGCCCUUCCCCUCCCUAACGCUGGGCAAGAUCAAUAAAUAAGAAGCUUCGGCUUAGGGCGACCAAACCAAGCUCGAUUCGCUCCAAAUUCCCACAGUGCCUUCCAUCGAAGAGAUUCACCCGUAGUAGAUAAGGGGGCAAAGCCAGAGGCUAGUCUAUAGGCGCCUCUAUCUGUAAUGGGGGAAUUUCUUGCUCAAGCUUCUGGAUCUGGGAAGAACUGCUCGCUACUACUACAUACGAUGCACUAUUGAAAGGCUCGACCCGGCCCGGAAGAGCGAUCCAGGAAGAAAUAUCCAUCAAAACGAGUAAGAACUAUCAACUGGGCUCGGGUAAGGUAGGUAGAUCAUUCGGGUGGGUGGAGGUACUACCAAGACAUGGCUUAAGCAUAAUAUCAAUUACCAAUAGAUAUCAGACUAAUUCAAGGCUUUAAUAGAAAGGAAGAUUGCAUAUUUGUAUUCAAAGAAAGCCCUUUUGAGUCUUUUUAGUGAACCUAUAGAUGAGACCCUAGAGAGUCCGUAAACUCCCGAUUUAGACAUAAAAGCCAUUCCGGACCUUUUCCUCAUGGAACGAGAAGACCGAUGCCACUAUCGCCUCUUGGCUUUGCUUUAAUAGAUUAGUUAUAGCAGCACUGAGCAACAUCCAAAGCUCCAGUCCUUCUGGUUUGCACUAAAGUGGCUUAAGUAGCCCUCGAGGAGUCCGUUUAUUCUCUCCGUCUGAGCUUUCAAAGAUAUACCGACCGUAGGUAUCUGACCAUCAGAUACCGACGUCUUCUAAGAUUUCCGACAUUUCGGGUUUUCAUAAAUUUCACAUAAGAUAAAAGCUCUUUUCAUCAUCAGAAAGAACCUGAUUUCCGACCUCUUGCAUUGCACGAAAACGAAAAAAAAAAUCAUUCAAAAAAGAGAUUGCUCUUGUGAUUCGGAAUGAAGCUUUUUCGGUGGAGGAAAGGAAUAGCGAUAGAUUUCUAUAGAGCAUCCAGGAACAAGCAGAUUCAAUCGGGGAUACUCGUUUAAUUCGCCCCUAUCACGUAAAGCUCGCCCUUAUAGCUUAUGGGGGGGCACACUCGCUGGAAGCCAGACCCAUUCGGGAACUAACCGAAAUUACUGGAGUAUACCCCUCUCCUUUAUGGCUUGCCCGCGCUGAUUGGCUCAUUCAUCAAUAGGGCCCUGGUCGGUCACUUUUCUGGGCCGGGAUCGAUAAGUGGAAGUCAUAAAAAAGAGAUCUUUCUCUUCGCACCUCAGAUCAAGAGGAAGGGUUUCUUGUCAAGCUGGCCUAUAAAUAAAAUAAGAAUAUCUUUCUCUUUUCUUCAAUUCUUUACUGAAGAGUAGUGGGAGUAAGUGAGUGAGAGGCGGUUGAAGAGGAGAGGGCCUUUUCCAUAGAAGUUGCGUGCAAGAUAGGAGGAGAGGAGAGGCAUUAUUUAGGAGAUCCGUAAAAGGGUUUUCUGAGGGCCUAUGGUAUUGGAUGAAGAAGAGGGAUCCAGAAUCUGAGGAAGCGACUGGAAGGGAAGGAACUGGGCUAGACUGCUGAUCUUCUGGAGUCUCUUCAACUAGAGGAUUGGUUAGACCGAUUGGACAGCUUUCAAAGACAGCUCUAUUUGACCUGACCUACUUCGAAUCUCCCCUCUCUAUGGGCAUCCUUAGGAGUAGGGGCUUACGGUCCACGCAUUAAAGAUCUUCUUUUUGGUUUGAAAAAGCGACUUUUUUUACAGGUCAGUGGAAUCUUUAUGCUCAAAACCCUGAUUCAAGUAGUCAUUUAUUUGGGACCUCCCAAGGAGCAGGAACUGCCAUUCUAACUCUUCUCGGGGGAUUCCAUCCACAAACACAAAGUUAAUAGUUGGCAUGUUGAAUCAUAUUCAUAAUGAGCUGGUUUAGAUUGAUCCUAACCGGAUGAUUAUGAAUUAUUUCUAUUUAAUAGAAUAUUCAACUCGUAGAUAAAAUCUCAAAUCACGGAUUUUUAGAAAAUCCAUCUUAUUUUCAUUCAACUGCUACAAGAUCAACAAUUCCAUAAGCUUGGGCUUCUGUUGCUGACAUAAAAACAUCUCUUUCCGUCUUUCUAAAAAUAUAGUAACUAACUAACUGGCUCCCUGAACGGAGUAGAAGAAUGGAAAGUUUCCAUAUCAAUAAUAGGAGUCAGUGAGCAAAUAGCCGUAGUUUCAUAGGUUGCCGUAGUGGAAUAGGAGCAAUCAAGGAAAUGCUUCCACCGGAAGACUUAUUCGUUUAGAUAGAGAUAACAGAGCUAUACAUCAAAAAUAUUGAACUCAGUAUCCCCCAGGCAUUCACUAAAUGCAUUUUGCUUUGGCUUGGAAUGCGGAAUGAAUGGUUGGUUUGUUUGAUUGAAUGUGGAAUUUCAUUUAUGUGGUGUGAAUGCAGGGAAGACUGAAGGCAGGGGAACGGGUAGGGUAGGCUUGGAGGCAGAAGUCCUAUUUUUCCCAACCAAAUAAGCACGCAAAGUUCACCUUCCCGCGGGCAAAACAAGACUGACAGAUAACAAUCAGACCUUACCAGGGACAGGGACCAGACUAUAGAGCCUAAUUAAAAAGAAUUCGGGCUUGCUUUCUCAAUUCACAUCUAUGAGCGAUGAUUCUUCUAUCUCUUGCUCGCUUCGAUCGGACUCUGACAGCUUAGGGAAGAAUGAUGGGUCGCUAACAAGGCCUCAAAGUAUUAAUAGAAUAGAAUCUACGGCUGCUUCAAACCAACAAGGAUUUUGCGAAACAGAAAGAUCGUUAAAAUCCCAUUCAGUGUUUGUAUUAGUUAGAAUGCAAGUAUCCGCAGUUUCAAUGGUAGAAUGUCAGUGAAAUGCCAUAAGGGUAAAUACCAGUCUUAGCUGACGAAAAUGAGGUAAACUCAGUGUUGCCUUCCUCCGAUCCGACUGUUAAUGCCGAAGAGGCACCAACCCAGCACGAACAAAAACGGGAAGUCCCUUCUUCCUCUGCGCCUCACCGGACAGAAGAAGAAAAAAGGCUCGAAAAUAGGAUCGAAGCGGUUCUUCACAAACAUCUGAAAAAGUUUUGUGCGCGGAAGAGCGUUGUCGGGGCUUUUCCAGAACUGGAUUUUUCCAAUUUCGACUUUGAUGCUUUGGCCAGGCAACUGGCCCGGGAUAAUCUGGACGUGGAGUGUAAAUCCACAACGGACUUGGAACUUUUAUUAGAAAACUUAAAAACUGUGAAUGAUUCGAGUUCCUUAUUAAGAAAUUUCUUAGCGAACUUGAAUCAUGAGGCCCUUUGGGAUAAAGCUUUAUCCCACAGACGGUCUUAACAGUUACAUCAAAUCACGUUGGUUGAAGAUGAUCUUACGCGGCGUUCAGAACCAGCCUUGAAGUGAAUGAAUUAGAAAGAACGAAAAAGUAAGGAAAUGAGACGACUCUUUCUUGAACUAUAUCAUAAACAGAUCUUCCCUUCUACACCAAUCACGAGUUUUUAUCUAUUCCUCUCGUAUAUCGUCGUAACGCCCUUAAUGCUAGGUUUUGAAAAAGACUUUUCAUGUCAUUCCCAUUUAGGUCCGAUUCGGAUCCCUCUGUUGUUUCCUUUUCCUUCCGCACCUUUUCCUCGAAAUGAGAAAGAAGAUGGUACACUUGAAUUGUAUUAUUUAAGUGCUUAUUGCUUGCCAAAAAUCCUACUUCUACAAUUGGUAGGUCACCGGAUUAUUCAAAUAAGUCGUGUUUUCCGUGGUUUUCCCAUGUUACAACUUCCGUACCAAUUCGGUCGAUCCGGAAUGGAUCGGUUAAACAUUCCAUUAGGGAGCCUGGUCUUGACUCUUCUGUGUGGUAUUCAUUCUCGUUCGGCUCUUGGAAUCACAUCCAGCAGUGGUUGGAACAGCUCGCAAAAUCCAACCACUUCACCUACUUCAUUGCCCCCAACCCUUUCUCGUACCUCUAUUGAAACAGAAUGGUUUCAUGUUCUUUCAUCGAUUGGUUAUUCCUCUCCGUUCGUAUCUCUUUUUCCAAUUUCGGUCUCGAUUAGUUCACAAGAUUGAAUGGCCAAUUCUCCUCCGGACCCUCGAUUCGAUUGUUUUCCAAGAAUGUUGAGCCGGGUAUGUAAGCCAUGUAUCUGGGAGGAACUUAAAUAAAAAAAAGAAUUCCUCUAUUUGAUGUCGAUUCAUCCACACUUCCAUUCCUUGUAGAGGAAGGCUAACUGCUUGCUGGCUGGGAGCUGUAUGAGCGGUAACGUCCACGUACGGCUCCGUGAGAAGGGCGGUGGACAGAAAUGGCCUUGUUGUACCUCACUCUCGUCUUCAAUGGGGUCUGCUCUUUUUUUUUUGGGAGAGUAUGCCAAUAUGAUCUUAAUGAGGUGCGGGGCUUUGCAUCUGACAUUCGUUGGGCUUCCCUUUUCGGGAGCCUGCGUCCCGGCGUUUUUGUGCAAUAAACCCCUCCGGCCGAAGACUAGUGGUAGGUGGUCCCGCGGAGCUUUCGGAAAAGGGUAGCCUAGUGUGUAAGCACAGCAAUGAACCGCGGCGAACCCUCAGACGACCUAUCUAAGAUUAGGGGGGAGAUCCUCAGUAGUGGUGACCCUUUCACUCUUCCACGGACUGAUACAUGUACCGAAUGCUCAUACGGGAAAGUUGACUCCUGGGUCUGGUUGCUCCGAGAUAUCACGUAGUCUCGGAUAAUACCCGAGUUUGAAGCCAAGCCUAAUCUACUAAAAGAGGGCUACAGCAAGCAAAGCAAGCUUUCCCCCUUUGUUUGUUGUGGGUCGCGCCUCACCGCAGGCACUGAAUGAAUGAAAUGAGUGGAGAUCUUCCUUCCCCCUUGCGUCUUACCAAGAACUUCGUUGCCACUAGUGGCGAAGAAAAAUUAGACCAUCCCACCCAAAAACAACUCGGAGCCUAAAGAGAAGAGAGUUCAGUCUACAAGAAGCUGGCAGAGCUUUAGCCAAUGGGCCACAUCCAUCUAUCCUACCUAAACAGUAAGGUAAGCCUUUUCUUGUUCGUUCUUCGAAUGACACUAGUGGAGACUAAUUCCUUCCGGCUAAUGAAGAUACUACUCCAGUCUUCCCAGUGGAUCCAGCGCCAUAAGGUCUAUGAUGUGGAUAGAUCGAGCUCGGAGCCAGACAUCCCGGAACUACCUAAUCCCAUAGGCACUGAGUUAGAAGGAUAAGGAGACCAGGUAUGGCAUCGCUUUAUUGUAAUUGAGUUCGGUGCGCUAGGCACACUGCUCAUCCGCCCCUCAUAAGAAUGUACUAUCUAGUAGUGUACUUUUUUCUAGCAGCACGUAGGCCGGCAGUACGUAAUUCGUGCAAUCCGUCGAGUAGUUAAUAUCGUAUUUUAGUCUAAGCGAGUGAAUGGCUUUCCUGGUCUAUUUCCAUUGGGCUAUGGUAAGCAUUCCCUCUUCCGUUAUUUCUCCCUCGUACAAAGGGAUGGUCGAGCUAUUCAAACCGACUCUAGAAAAGACGGUCAAAGAAGAGACAAAGAUUAUGGUAUGAUAAGACUCCGCUGGUCAGCGAGUUUGACGCGCCCUAUCUAUCUUUAUCUUUCUCCUCUCGAGAACGGUAACAGGGUUUGAUCGAUAGCAACAAAAACAUCGGAAUAAGGAAGAUCAGCCUACCACACCCGCACAGUUUAGGAUAGUGCUGAACUUGUUAAUAACUACUUUGUCGAGAGUGCCUUCGAUUUGGAUUCUUUUUCUUGAGGGGGCUUCUGUCUGUCAGAACUCACUAUCGGUCUGGUAUGCAUUUUGAAAGUGUUCAGUGGACAGUUGCUUGUCUCGCUCUGGAUUAAGUUAGUGUUCAGUGAGUAAAAGAUAGCUGCCUGACGAGAGGAAAGGACACCCGGUACAGUCUUUCUUUGGCCCCAGCCCCCGGUUACACCAAAGCACACCACACCUGAAAAAACUCUUGUAUCGAGGAUAUGCGGAUGCAGUUGUGGAAGCAUUUUUCCUAGCGGCGAAGGAGCAAUUGCCUUGAAACUGUACUAACUCCCCAACAACCCCUAAUGCAUAAAACUUCAACCUUUGAGUCAUACCUAACUUCUUAGCCAGACGCAGCGAAGAUUUUAAUCUGUCUCUGAGUCUGAUUAGAUUCAUUAAGCUGGGAAUCUCUUCUUCGAGUCUAAGGGCAGGAUCAAGCUUGAAAGGAAUGGACAGGCGUAGGCUUAAUAGUGAACGCUGCUUAUAGAUAUGAGAUCAAUACUAAUAACAAACAUAUAUAGGGCUUUUGAACUCUUCCCCGUACACCUACACCAACAAGCCAGAAAGCAAGUCUUGUCGGGUUAACGGACAAGCAAGGAAAGGCCAAGCUAAGAUUAAAGAAAGAUGUCAGGUGUUGAUGAAUACUUAUUUUAUCCCCUAUGCGCACGGAAAGGGAAAGCUAUAGUCUGAUAGGCCCGGAAAUGCUUUCUCGUCAUCAAUUUCAUGGAUCCUGUAAGACACUUCCAUUUGCUUAAGCCUCUUUCGUCUGAGAGUCCGUCAGUAAGAAUCACUUCAGUCAAUCGAAAAAUCCAUUCUCCUCUGUUAUUCCUUCCACCAAUCCUAAACCAUCCCAGAGUCUGUGGGCAGUCGCAUUCACAGCCGAAUAAGACGGUUUAGGGCGCGAUCUCUUUGAAAUGAUUCGUCCUUUGACUUGCCUGAAUCACGUUAUGUGAAUAACGAAUAGUCGAGGAAACGGCGUCUUUUAUCCUAAAUAGAGCUUUUUAAGCAAUCAGACUCACCUACUUCGUAUGGUAUGAUCCAGUAGCUCGAAAUCGGGCCGAUUUCUUUCCUUGUGAUUCUAGUUCUGAUCGUAUCCCAUAGAAAGCCUAGCGUGGGAUACGUACACCCAAAAGCAGAUACACAAACAAAGUCAAGCCGGAAAUAAGGAUGGCUCUCCCAAUUCAGGAAGUCGGAAAUGGCCGGUCCGGUAUUCCCUUGUUCCCUGUAUUGGUUAUGUUCUUUAUUUCUCGUCUAGCAGAAACUAAUCGAGCUCCGUUUGAUCUCCCAGAAGCGGAAGCUGAAUCAGUUGCAGGCUAUAAUGUAGAAUAUGCGCGGGAUGAACGACGAUUCCGGAAUAGAUAGAUUCAAAUUGCGUGAUAGAAUGGAAAAUAUAAUCAAAAUUCAUUGAUCCAAUCAAUAAUUCAAAAAGAAGAGAGCCAAAGAACCUACUUCUCUUAACCAUCAUGAGAUUUGGUAGGGGCAAUCACUUUUUAGAUCAUGGCUUGUAAUCCUGGAGCCUUUCCCUUGACAACCGAGCUUGCCUAAGUACGGCGUAGAAGAGAAAAAGUCUCAUCAAGAGAGGGAUUAAACCCUUUUCCGACAGACUGCUCGAAUGGACAGACUCAUUAAGAGAAGUGCGACCUCAGCACUGCAUCUAUCGACCGGGCUAACUGCCCCCCGUUUCCCGAAAUACUUAUUUUGCAUGGGCCCACAACUGCAAUCCAGCCAUAAAGUUUGAAAGCUUAUCUUCCUCACUUAUACUAACCACUUCGAGCAUCAGAGAUUGGAAACUCUUCACAUACUCUCUAACUGAACCCGUUUGCCUCAAAUGCCUUAAGAAGUCUCUUGCUAGGCUCCAUGGAGGUGAAUUGGAUCGGGUGAAAGUGGUUAUCGAAAAUCGAUAUCCUUUAUUGGGAUUGAGGAAAGAAGUGGGAUGGGAGAGAAAGUCUUACGAUCCAACUAUUUGUGGUACCCCUAAGAUCCUUGGUGCAUAGGAUUCCGACGAAAUGCUAUUGAUUUUAGGAGGACUAUAAUGAGGAGGACGAAAUACAGAUAUGUGCUACUACUAUCCCGAUGCUGCGAAGCUAGGUGGUGCUAUUAUGGCGGGGGAAGGGUCUACUUCUGGCAUCUAGUCGUCAUCGAUUUCGAACAGCGGUAAGCCCGAUAACAGGGAAAAAGGCAAAAACACUAGCUGAUAGAGAUGGCACAACUCCUUCUUCCUUCUCUGUGCGUGGCGUGGGUGUGGCUAUUGAUCGGAUCAUUUUUGUUAAGUUAAAGAAGCACCUUCCCUUCUGAAAAGAGCUGAAGUAGCCAUGUUUGCAGGCAUAUGGGGAGCUGAAUGGCUUCUUCAGAGGAGCCAAACCAAAGGGCUUAGGUAGAGAUACAUCCUAACUCUCAGUCUGACAUCUAAUGACAUUAGGGUCGUCGACUUCACAGAGAGAAGAAGUACCAGUACUCCCCACUGGGAAAGAGAACGGAUCCUCAGCCAUUCUCACCAAGUCAUACAACUUUCAUAACAGACCGUAUUGAAAGAUCAUUAUAUUCUUUCGAAAACGGUGUAUACCCAAGCUGGCGGUUUCAAUAAAGACUCAAAGUCCAGACUGGUAUUACAAAGGUUGUACCUGUGAACCAACCCCCUACAGCGAAAUAGGCACAAGGAAAGAGCAAUAGACCGGACCAGCCUACAAAAACGAAACGGUCCCUCCGUAACCAGUCAUCCAUAAUAUCAAAUAAAUCAUAGGAAUAAUGGCACCUGAGAUAAUAUUGUUUCCGUAAAGUAGAGAUCCAGAAACAGGUUCACGAAUACCAUCAAUAUCUACUGGAGGAGCAGCAAUGAAGGCAAUAAUAAAUACAGAAGUGGCGAAGAUCCAGAAACAAGAUAUCGUGACCUUGAUACGGAGCUGGAACUGCUAACUAUGAUGAAUGCGCUAACUAUGGAUAUGAUGCCGGAAGAGGAAGUGCUCCCACCAUAGUCAAAAUCAAAAAAGGAUAAACUAAAUUCUACUCGUAUCGUAGCAUGAGACCCCCUCUACAGUAGUUGAAGAUCGAAAUAAAAAAUCCCGGGCUAAUUGAUUUUUUAACUCUAUCUGUCAAUGGACGGGAUUAGGAUGCGAUCAACCUUUACCUUAGCAGUAAUAGAGAUAGCAUAGCUGUAGACAGGGGCAGGGCCCGAGACGGAUUAUAUAUAAUAAAGACGGGAGUCGCUUUGAUUGAUUGGCCGAGUGGUUUAAGGCGUAGCAUUGGAAUUGCUAUGUAGGCUUUUGUUUACCGAGGGUUCGAAUCCCUCUCUUUCCGUAACUUCACCUAAUUAACUAAUGUUACUGACCGAAAUGUAUUAAAUAGAAAUGGAAAUCAUUAUUCCAACAGUUAGACCUUUCUUUGAUAUAGAUUCUCUAUUCCUAAUUGCUGUUUUUCGGAAAAUACUGGAAAGAGUGGACAAGGAAUUAAAAUAUCCCUGCCGAUCUAUGAUACAUGAAUGGGAUAAAAAUCUAGAUAAAACCCCCUUAUCUUAACCUUAGGUCAAUUUACUUCGGCGAAAGGGGAAAAAUUGUCCGAACCCUUGUUAUUUUAGUUAGGUUUCAGUCUGACGGGAAAAAUAUUCUACGACUAGCAAUUCAUUUUUUUUAAACCGACCAAAUUACUAUCUAUUAUUUGAUUGACUAAUCCUUUAUAUUGGAAUGGGUAAAGAGUAAGAUGUUUUGUCAAUUCCUCAUGGGGGGAUGAAUCGAGAGAAUUUGGAAGAAUCUGGGAUUGAUUGUGGAACCGAGCAUAUAGAACCCGGGGCGGGCAGUAAGAUACGCUAGGCGGAGUAGUCGCUCUGAAGCAGGUUCUUCGACUGGAUCAAUGCAUGUAUGAACCCCAACAAAAUCCCGAAGGUCUAGUCUAGAAAAAACCCAGAUUUUGUUGGGUUAGCUUUUUGUUGGGUUAGCUUUUUUGGUAGGAAAGAUAUGAAACAAAAAAGAAAGAUAGAUAUUCCCAUGGUAAGAAUAGGACAGUUGCACUAAGGAAGAGAUGAUCCCUACUUGAAAAGGCGGAGACAAUACCUCUUGUUGCGAGUGACUAUGUCGGUCAUAUAGAACACCAACACAUAGAAAAAGGGCUGAAGAAACCAGUCCAUGACUUGACAUCGGUAGAAUGCUACCUCCAAUUCCCUGUAUGUUCGAUAGAGCCAAAGAUUCCCCCCACUGAUCGGAGUACGCCGAUUACCCCCCGAACCGUACAAGAUAGUUACCACCUAUCAUACGGCUUUAUAACUUAACUUCUUUUUCUGGUCGUUCCGCUCUGUCGAUCGAUGGUAGUAUAAGAGAUCUGUAACCCCACGAAAUUCUUUACAUAAUGGUUCCUGCUUCCUACCCAUAGUUAGCAUGUAUCUCCCCGGGUCAUACUUGAGUAUUGUCGCUACCCCCUUCACCGAAUGAAUGAAGAAAUUGUCUCUUUGCCAAGGCACCCAUUGGCUAUUAUCUUACUAUACCAUAAUUUGGAGCAAGUGGCAAUGCAACGUUCUUUAGUUAAGAAAGAGAAGAGGCUGGACCUUUGUUAUCAGUCCAGCUAUACGCCCAGGGCUUUCCAAGUCCCUGCGCUCGAGCCUCCAAGGCAACUUACCCUGACGUAACAAAGAACGGUGAACUUUCUUAAUCCCACUCCUGCAGAAUGGAAUACAAACGCUCCUUUUGGGCAUUGGUUUUGGAGGAUCAUUCGUUCUUCACUCUCUUGCUAUUACCCGCAGGGAGCGCAGCAACCAAGGUGCAUAUUAUCAUAUAGAAAGAGGCGAGGCUUACGUUGCCAAGAGGGCAUUGCGAGACAAAGGAAAGGCCCAAUUCCCUCUGCAGACUAAGGUUGAUCCAAAAGAGAACUUGGCCCAGUCUCAACAUGAAGGAAAGGGGCUUGUUGAGUAAGGCCGGCUUUCGAGCCCAAGCCUACGUUUGCUUAGUAAGCUUGAGCGCAUCUAUCUCAUAUCAAGGCUUUCCUUGAGUUUUCCAAAAGGGGCGCGUUAGCUAGGCCGUUUUCUUGCAGGAGUUCUAACGCGCGCCCUUACAUUGGGAAUAAUUGUCACCUAGAAAGCGAAUGUUCAUCUUAUUUUUUAGCAAGUACUGUAGGACAAUGGAGACAGCUAUGAUCGGGCAAUAGCGUAGAUACAGUAGAGCUCGCGCUUCUUUAAUUCGAUAGUUCGAUAGUCGGAACUCUUGGCCUCUGAGUCCCUUUUUUAAUUUGAUUCAAUUGUGAAAUAACACGACGUGUGUAUCUAGGGAAUAGUUGCGAUUCUGUAACCGCAGGCAGCCCAGCCGACUUAAUGAUGGCCGCGCAUGAGAUCGCACGAGCACUUCGAUUAUGAGUCGGGGGAUGCGAACAUAGUGGCCCUAAAAUACCUUCUGCGCUAUCUUAAAGGCGAAAAACUUCCAUUUUGAGACCGCGACCCAUCGCGGAGCACUUUCUCACUGAUUUAGUGAGAUAAGUGUGAAAUUAUCCUCCUCAACCUAAUAAUCAACUUCCAAAGGAUGGAAUGAUUGUAGGAUCAAGAAGGCUUCUUUAUAUAAAGAAAGGCAGCAGCAAGAACUAUAUCUGUCAAAGAAGAAGAGUCAAGAAGGAAUGGAAUGGAAAGUUUGGAUGGAAUGUGCCUAUGAACUAUUCCUCUUUCAAGCUCAUUACGCUCAUUCCCGAGGAGCACUUCACUUCACUCGCUUAAGCCGAAUUUACGAAUCCCUUCCUUAAAUAGAUCGAUGCUUGUCCUUGCCGCACUCUUCUGGUACAAAGGACUAGACUGACGUUUUUAAGACCUCACUAAUCAGCCUUACACUUUUGCGUUCAUAAUUUUUGAAAUGAACCCCCGGAUGAAGAGAAAAUCUCCCCUCCCUUUUACUAAACCAUUAAACCCAUAGAGAGGGGAGAUUCGAAGUAGGUCAGGUCAAAUAGAGCUGUCUUUGAAAGCUGUCCAAUCGGUCUAACCAAUCCUCUAGUUGAAGAGUAUUUAGCGCUUUACUAAGAUUCUAAUCUAAAGUCAAGGACACUCUAUCAUGAUCUUAGGAAUCUACAACUCUCUUUACUGAGCGAGACUCCAUCCAUAUCCCUACUAGUGGUUAUUUUUUCCAUUCUAUCAUUUGUUUGACAGCUUAAACUAGGCUCCACUUUAGAUAGGUUUUUGGUUUUAAUCAAGAUAGGUCAAGGGCGCGUCGGAACGGUCGGUAGCUGCUUAGUCUCAUCCGACAUAAAAGUCUCCUUGUACUGCUUUUUUUUUCUUUGAAAAAAAAAGAAGGGGGUCGAUUUAGGCUCCUUCCCUUCCACUGCAUAGCUGCGCUAGCAGGUACUACGAGCCCUCUGUCCCACGCAUCUAACCAGCUCGCGUGGUUCACCGGUUCCACCGAAAACUCUCAUUUGUUGAAGCGGAGCAUAGUGCGCUUUAGGCGCCGAGUAGAGCCUAGCUUGUUAGAAACCUCAUCUCAGUAUUCCAUUCAAGAACCAAGCCUUGUUUGUCACAUCUAGCUACUCGGAUACGAAGGAAAGAGCGGAUCGGAUGGUAGCAUCGGGUGUAAACUCCUAUCUAUCGGUUGCAUCCUUAGGAACUACCAACUUAAUAGGAAAGAAGAGAGAGAGACAUCGGGUUACUCUCCGAGUCCCUACGGG
rnacentral:lncRNA from 1 species